GUUCUCACAGGGUUCUCCGUGUGUUACAGGGUUCUCCGUGUUUAACAGGUUCUCCAGUGUUACAGGGUUCUCACCGGUUGCAGGGUUCUCCGAGUGUUUACAGGGUUCUCACCGUGUUGCAGGGUUCUCACUGUGAUACAGGGUUCUCACCGUGUUACAGGGUUCUCGGAGUGUUGCAGGGUUCUCGGAGUGUUACAGGGUUCUCACCGUGUUGCAGGGUUCUCCGUGUUUAACAGGGUUCUGCGAGUGUGUGUGAGUGUUAUCUGUGUCAUUUUGUGCGGUGUUGAUGUAUAAUCUGAGAUCUUUUUGUUUGUUGUUGGUUUGUAGGAUUUUACGGAGAUUAAACGCAGGUGCAGACAAACUUUCCCCCAAAUCCCCUCAGCGCUGCUGCUUUAGUCGAGAUCACAGCGGCGCUGCGACGCUUCUGAUCUCCGCUCAGGCGUAAACACUCGUCACACUUCAGCACCGCCACCAAGCCUUACACCUGCUGAUCGCCAGCGCUGUGCGCAGCGGUCAUGAGCACGCCCAGCCUCUCCUUCAUCGAACUGUCAUCGCGAGUCCUCCGCAGGAGCGUUUGUUCCUGAUCCCGCGACUCUGUGUAAGUUCCCGUACACGGAGACUCACUAACGU
ensembl:lncRNA